GGUUGGAUGAAGGGUGGUGCCUUUUGGCCUGUUUUCAUUAUUGCUAAUAUUGCUGCACUGAUUGCUAGUCGAGAUAUGACUACUGCUACAUUUUCAUGUAUAAAGCAAUUGACUGCACUUGGCUAUGUUGUGAUAUAAUAUUUCUGUUGUACUAUCACUGCUGUAUACUUGUUGCUGUUGUAUGCUUAAGGAAGCUAGACUCUUUUCCUUUUCCCUUUUGCCUUCCUCAUUUUGGUAUUAGGUGAGCUUACCGUGUCCAAAAGUUUGGCCAUUGUCUCGAGGGAUCCAAGUGGAAAGGAAAUGAGGCGGUUUUCAUCUUGUGAAUGAGAUUUAAAUUUGUCUAAGCUUGAGUUUUAUCAGAACUUUCUGUUCAUACAAAAUUGGUUAAGCAUCUUGGGUGCUAAAAUUUUUCUGCUUUCAAUUAUUAUCAAUCUUUUGGCCAAUUUGGCAAUAACUGCUUCCAUACGGCUUCGGUUUUGGGCUAAUUUAGUGGUGGAAUAUGCAAUGGUUACAGCUAUGCGACUGCAGUUUAUGGCAGCAGAAAGACGACUUCCUGAUCAAUUUACGGAUGGAAUAUUUGUGUAACGGUGAUUCAUUGUCCUUGUACGAAAUAUUCCCCCAGAUGCUGAUGAAUCAAUUAGUGAGCUUGUGGAGCACUUUUUCUGGUCAAUCACCCUGAUCAUUAUCUCACGCAUCAGGUGGUUCAUAAUGCAAAUAAGCUGUCAUAUUUAGUUGAGGAAAAAGAAGCAAAAUUGGCUGGAUUACUACGAACUAAAGUUUUUUAGAAAGUCGGAUCAACGGCCCAUGACGAAGUUUGGAUUUCUUGGCCUCUUUGAACAAAAAGUUGAUGCCAUAGAUUAAAAUGCUGCUGAAAUUGAGAGACUACAUAAAGAACAAGCUGAACCAAGGCAGCAGCCCCAAGUAGCACCCAGCAGCAACAAAAGGACAGCAGCCAAGCUGCAGUACCAACACAGACCAGCAAGAAAGGGAGCAUGCUGUAGCAGCCUGAGAAACUAGCAGCAGCAGGAAACUAGCGUAGCAGUAGCACCCCACCAGCAGACCCAUAAUCAAUUGCGACACAGUAGGAAGCACCAACAAGGAGCAAAAUGCACCAGCCAGUACUGCAAAACAGGCAGCAUAUAGAUAUCAGAACCUUUUUUUUUU